rnacentral:misc_RNA from 1 species
UGCAUUCUGGGCAACCUUAAAUUUUUUUAUUGCUUCAACAAGUGGUUUGUAAGGGUGAUGAAUAUUCAGGUCAAAAGCUAAGGUUGCGAGCACAACUCUCUCACCAAGUAAAAUUAACUCCUUCUGUUGCUCAUAAACUUCCUUCUGUUUGAUCCUCUGGGCUGCAGCAGGAUUUUUCAUGUGAAUAAUUUCAUAGGAAACAAUGAUUACAUCCUUUAGUGGGCGAGGCGUCUCUUCAACCUUCCCAGCAAGGAACAUACAGACAGUUGCAAUGGUCCUUCUAUCAUUCUUUGCAUGAGACUGUCGAAGAAAGAAUCGAUGACAGAAUAUUAUUGCUGUGGCUAUCGUUACUUG